CUUUGUGGUUCGGCCUUAGCAAUUUAAAACCAUUGUUGAAUAAUCCCUGGAAUGUAAGGGGUUAAAUAUUCGGUCAACAUGCAUAUCUGUUUUGUAUGGAGAAUGCUGGUGACCGAAAAUGUUUUUUCACUGUUGGUGGCACUUUUUGCACUGCUUGCUUGAGUGCGCAAGUUCCACUUCUUGCUACUGGGGAUCAGGGAAAUGUGCGAUUGGUUAGAUCAGGUAUGACGCAUCAUCAUCUGGCGCGAGGUUGAAGUGUACAGUCAGUGCUUAGUGCGUCGUGCAUCUCAUUCUUGGGCAGGAUUAUGUUGGCGACAGUCAGACACGAGCCUAUGCUCAGGCAGCGCACAAAGCAGCUUCUGAACCAUUGAAACGGUAAGUUCUGUUGAUUAUCCUUCAAUUAGCCUACAUGUAACCUCAGCACUGUUAAUAUAUUACUGUGGUAAAUUUUAAUUGGGGAUUUUUCGUCAAAAUUCAGGCGGACCAUCAACCAGAGGCGAACUAAGCAUAACGGCAUCCUAUUCAGCCAAACGGUUGAUGGAUGAUGGACAAUGACAGGUUUCAGAUCGAAUGUUGCCUGGACUACUGAUGACCAUUCCAUGGCCUUCUGGCCAUCUUAUGCAGAUCCCAAUCAAAAUGGCAUUACUGAUGCAUGAAGUCCUUGGACCAUCGUGGACCACCCACACCAUUGUAAUUUUGGGCACUGCAGGACGUACCUAAGGCGUGGGACUAGUAGAACAUAAACGGCACCAACUACGUCAGCACAUCCCCCAGUAUUGUGGCUCCUGCUGGGCAAACGGCAGCAGCAGUGCCAUGGUGCUGGUCUUCGCUGGAUUUGCCACGCUUUGUUUUUUACUCACCUAAGACAGUAAUUGCUCCAUAUCUGAUGUCAUUGGUAUCAAAACAUAUUUUUGGCGACAUCUGACAAGUGAUACAUUUGAUCUGUAUUUUCUAGAUGACUGGCUUUAUAAAAUCCAAUGUCCUUUGAGUCCAUGGGGCUGAAGAACAGUGACUAGUUUCAAAAACCUCCUAAAAAGUUAUGUACGUUUUUUUUGUGUUCCCUCAUCGCGAGUGAGGCAAGGUGGCAAUUGUUGGUCCACAUGUAUGUUUGAUUUUCAAUAUUGUCUUUGAGUUUUCUGGGUUUCAUGAAGGCUCUUUCCAAUGUGAUGUGCCGGUUGUUGUAAAACCAAUUGGGGUUUCCUGCAAACUUUUUUAAUUUCGUGUAGUUUUCAAAUGGAAAGGCUGAUACUCCAUUCAAUGUUCCAUAUCUCCUGACAUCAUAAGCUAGAUGGCAUAAAUUAUGCACAUUAUACACCAAUUCAUUUGCUCCAUAUAAUUGUUCAAAUUCAUUCAAAAAAUGGGACUGAGAUUGAUAAUAAAGAGAUUGAGGAAAUUGGUGCAUUGGGAAGAUGGAACGAUGCCUUACAAAACAAUUGGGCACAGAAGGAACUCAAUUUCUGACAAACGUCUUGGCUUUGAAAUUCAAUUAGGAUGUGUUAUCUUAGCUGCACCAGUCUUGCAGACAUAGCCAUCACUGCCUGAGAAACCAGCUUACAAAACAGAUCUCCUUUCAUCCAAAAACGCAUCAGUUUUCGAGUGACGCCUAGACAAACGAGAUGCAUGUAAUCCAGGAUGAACAUUGUUAUCAUGCCUAGAUUAAUUCGAGUAAGGGGGGAGUCGCCCUUGUGGUGGUCCUCAUCCACUUUUCUCAAAAACUGGUCAUCUGUGCGGGGCACAGCUGUCUUAGGGAAAGUCAUAUGGUUGUGUAUCAAAUGGCACUUUGCCGAAGAUUGGCUACAACUGCAAAGCUGAGCUCUUAUACAAGGGCAAAGCAUCCACAUUAACUUGUAAACCAAUCAACUCGCUAACAUUGUGGAGGGCAUCUGUUGGUAUUGUCUGGAGGUGUUUAGGAAUGCAAAUGUGUAAAUAUUCCGCUCCACAGGCUGCUAUUUUAGCUGUUUUUAGCAGGGUUCGAGCUUGCUUUGGCAGGCUUGGAUGGAACUCCUGUAGCACACUAAGAAGAUCAGAGGUGUUCUGUGGCGCAUCGUUCCUCAGAUCCCAGUCACAAAGAACAUUUGUCAAUUUUGAACAUUCAUCUUCACUAUCUUCAUCAGUUUCACAAACAUCCUCUGAGUCACUGUUUUCAUAGUCACCAUCUGAGGUCAUACCAUCAACCCUCUUAUUGUUAGUAAUCAAAUGUUUUCUCAAAAGUCAGUUUUUUUUUUUUUAAGGAUCCCUCAGGCCAGCAGAAAGACAUACUCAUCUUCCCCUUCAACACACAAUUUCACAUUUAAUAAUAAAAACCCAUGCACAACUA